UACAGAGGGUGCAAUCGUUUACGGGAAUUACUGGGCCUAAAGCGAGCGUAGGUGGUUUGUUAAGUUGGAUGUGAAAGCACCGGGCUCAACCUUGGAACUGCAUCCAAAACUGGCAAGCUAGAGUACGGUAGAGGGUGGUGGAAUUUCCUGUGUAGCGGUGAAAUGCGUAGAUAUAGGAAGGAACACCAGUGGCGAAGGCGACCACCUGGACUGAUACUGACACUGAGGUGCGAAAGCGUGGGGAGCAAACAGG
rnacentral:misc_RNA from 1 species